CCUACGGGAGGCAGCAGUAGGGAAUCUUCCACAAUGGACGAAAGUCUGAUGGAGCAACGCCGCGUGAGCGAUGAAGGCCUUCGGGUCGUAAAGCUCUGUUGUUAGGGAAGAACAAGUAUCGGAGUAACUGCCGGUACCUUGACGGUACCUAACCAGAAAGCCACGGCUAACUACGUGCCAGCAGCCGCGGUAAUACGUAGGUGGCAAGCGUUGUCCGGAAUUAUUGGGCGUAAAGCGCGCGCAGGCGGUCCUUUAAGUCUGAUGUGAAAGCCCACGGCUCAACCGUGGAGGGUCAUUGGAAACUGAGGGACUUGAGUACAGAAGAGGAAAGCGGAAUUCCACGUGUAGCGGUGAAAUGCGUAGAGAUGUGGAGGAACACCAGUGGCGAAGGCGGCUUUCUGGUCUGUAACUGGCGCUGAGGCGCGAAAGCGUGGGGAGCAAACAGGAUUAGAUACCCUGGUAGUCCACGCCGUAAACGAUGAGUGCUAAGUGUUAGAGGGUUUCCGCCCUUUAGUGCUGCAGCUAACGCAUUAAGCACUCCGCCUGGGGAGUACGGCCGCAAGGCUGAAACUCAAAGGAAUUGACGG
rnacentral:rRNA from 1 species